rnacentral:rRNA from 1 species
UACGAAGGGGGCUAGCGUUACUCGGAUUGACUGGGCGUAAAGGGCGCGUAGGCGGUUUGUACAGUCAGACGUGAAAUUCCUGGGCUCAACCUGGGGGCUGCGUUUGAUACGUGCAGACUUGAGUUCGGAAGAGGGUCGUGGAAUUCCCAGUGUAGAGGUGAAAUUCGUAGAUAUUGGGAAGAACACCGGUGGCGAAGGCGGCGACCUGGUCCGAUACUGACGCUGAGGCGCAAAAGCGUGGGGAGCAAACAGG